rnacentral:rRNA from 1 species
GACGUAGGGGGCGAGCGUUGUCCGGAUUUAUUGGGCGUAAAGGGCUCGUAGGCGGUUUUGCAAGUCGGAUGUGAAAACUCCAGGCUUAACAUGGAGAUGCCAUUCGAUACUGCUAUGACUUGAGUUCGGUAGGGGCGCAUGGAAUACCCGGUGUAGCGGUGAAAUGCUUAGAUAUCGGGUGGAACACCAGUGGCGAAGGCGGUGCGCUGGGCCGAAACUGACGCUGAUGAGCGAAAGCGUGGGUAGCAAACAGG